GACGAACGCUGGCGGCGUGCCUAACACAUGCAAGUCGAACGGAAAGGCCCUGCUUUUUUGCGGUGCUCGAGUGGCGAACGGGUGAGUAACACGUGAGUAACCGGCCCUUCACUUUGGGAUAACUUCAGGAAACUGGGGCUAAUCCCGUAUAGGAGCUCCUGCUGCAUGGUGGGGGUGGGAUAGUUUCGGCGGUUGGGGAUGGACGCGCGGCUGAUCGGCUUGCUGGUGGGGUAGUGGCUUACCAAGGCUUUGACGGGUAGGCGGCCUGAGAGGGUGGCCGGCCACAAUGGGACUGAGAUACGGCCCAGACUCCUACGGGAGGCAGCGGUGGGGAAUAUUGCACAAUGGGCGGGAGCCUGAUGCAGCAACGCCGCGUGCGGGAUGACGGCCUUCGGGUUGUAAACCGCAUUCGCCUGUGACGAAGCGUGAGUGACGGUAAUGGGUAAAGAAGCACCGGCUAACUACGUG
rnacentral:rRNA from 1 species